AUUCGCUACGUGCAGAAUGGUCCGUCGGCAGCAGCUGCAGCGCUGGGUGGGAGGGGGAGGAGGAGGGGAGGGGGAGGCGGCGCCCAGGUCUCGGGGAGGGGCCGCGGCGGCCCUGGAGAUAGAGGGGUGGGGGCGAAGGGGUGGGCCCCCGCAGCGGGGAGGACAGAGGGAGAGUCCGGGUGGGCUCGAUGCUCAGCCUUCCCCCUCCCCCGCUCCCGCUUCUUUCUGCGAGGCCAUUACGGCCAUCUCCCGGCCUGAGCCUCCUGGAACCAAGCCGACCAAGAGGGGUUUCCUCCGUGUUGUCUCGUCCCCAAAACCCAGAAUCCAGACCCAAGAAAGAACCACUCCUGCUGACCCCUCCUCCCGCUACCCGUCCCAACCGCAUUCCCAAGCUUUCGUGGAGGUGACCCAACAGCAAGCACUUCCCCACUCCGCCUUUCAUGGGGUGGGGUCCCUAAGAGACCCUGCCUGGAUGAAGAGGACUCCCAGAAGCAGUGAU
rnacentral:lncRNA from 1 species